AUAUUUUCACGAUUUAAAUCUUGAAUAUUUUUCGCAAGUUGAAUUUAGAAUCUUUUCGUAUAUUUUUAAUUCAGAUUACUUUCGUAAUAUCGUUCAGACUCACAAGAGAGAUUGGAGGUGGCAACUUCUCUCUCGCUCUACUAAUUAGCCUUUUUUUUUCUUCUCUAUUUAUUAUUGUAGAUCGCAACGAGCGAUUCCAGCGAGUGCCGUGCGAAACCUACCAGUGUGACAUCAGCGUGCGUGCUUGCGUUAUUUAUCGACUCGAGCGAACCGAAGUGUGAAGAUGGGGAAUUAUCGGCGGGGAGGGAGGAAGAUUCAGCUUAAGCGGCUAUACACUGAACUGGUGGAACAUCCCCAGGAGUUCGAUCCCCGUGUUUUCGACCGCCCGCUGCGUCACUCGCCACACCGCCGCACCUACCAUUGCCUUCCCCCGCGAGCUUUUCCAGCCGGGAGUCCUGCCGACCCCCGGUGAUACGUACGCGGCUUUCACGAGUGAGACUCGGCCUCCCUCUUAUCAGAAGCCGAAGAUAAUAGAAGACCGCCUCGUCGCCUCCGAUACAGUCAUAAAAGCCGCUAUUUCUUUAAUCGAUUUAAAAUAAAUUAAUCUUUAAAAGAAUUCGCUCUUAGUUCUCAUUCGCAUAUUACUUCUUUUCCCGCUGCUCCCCCUCUCUCUCUCUCUGUUUCCGCUCGGCAGAGUAGAGUGACAAAUACAGAAAUUAAUAAAAAUAAUAUUUCGCGAUCCUGACCCCGCCGGAGGUAACAAUGUAGAAACAAACAAUUUAUGUAGACAAAAAACAGACAAUUUAUGUAGAAUCGUAGCGGUAAUAAAUAAAGCCAUAUGCGACAGCUUCAAUGCAGCCAUAACAAAAGAAUACCAAAGGACAAACCAACUGAUCCUCCGUAUAACUGAUACAUAUAAGACGCCAACAGUACAAAAACGAGGACUGAUCGACGGAGUAGGCUCAAUAGCAAAAUCGCUAUUCGGUACGAUGGACGCCGACGACAAAAAAGUAAUUGACGAGCAACUCGCAAUGCUACACGACGCACAACAAUCAACAAAGCACGCAGUACAAAACCAACUAAAAAUAAUGCAGGCGACUAUAGCACACAUUGACGAGACGGUACAACAUAACGGAUACUUCCUCGCGAACGCGACCAAAAACUUAAAGCUAGAAUUACUAGAAAGCGAACGCGCAAACAACAUACAAUCGAAUUUUAUAAUUAUUAACACCGUACUAUCAGAUUUAAUUCGCGAUGCGGAAAACGUUCUACGUCACAUUAUUAAAAAAGGGUAUAAUGCAUCCCAGAUUAACGCCUAUAGACCACAUAAUACAAUUGCUUAAAGACGCGUACUCCCAACUCCCGGAAGGACUCUAUUUUCCGUUUAAAGCGAACCAAGAAGAAUGGUCAACCAUUGAAAAAUUUGCAAUUGUAAGUGCAUACUGCGAUAGCACAAAUAUAUACACAAUUUUGCGUUUUCCAUUAAUAUCAGCGUCUAAAUACGAAAUAUUAAAUGUAAUUGCACUACCUGUGCCAGAACAUAAUAACACAUUUUCAAUAAUAGAUAUCAGUUAUCCUACCAUAGCGAUAGACGGGGAUCAGCACACGUACAUAACUUUGUCGCGUAUCGAUCUACAAAAUUGUAUAAAAAUAAAUAAAGAUUACCUAUACGAGCGAAACUAUCCUGCAAAUAGGAUUAAUCCGCACUCCGUGUGCGAAGUCAAAACAUUUCUAGAAACUGAUAGGUAUCACGAAAAUUGUAAUAUUAAAAACAUAGCAUCUAACUAUAGUUUUUAGAUAGCAUUAAGCGAUUUGGAUAGCACUCGCACUUAUGGCUAUACUUCGUACAGAAAAAACAAACUGUAACAUUAUAUUGUAAAGACCACGGACAGAUAAAGGAAGUCAUUGAAAAAACGGGUAAAAUAACAUUAAAGAAUAACUGCAAAUUAAUGACGAAAGACACAGUAAUAAAGUCACCUAAGUUGUUACACGAUACGGAAAUAGAAACGUAUCUACCGCAGUAUAAUAUUUCGAUACUAGAGAACGAAACAAAAUUAAGCACAGAUGCAGUGCAAUCGAUAAAAUUAAAAAA